ensembl:ncRNA F02D10.14 ncRNA
CAAAAAAUGAUUUGCACGAAGUGGGAUUCGAACCCACGCACCCGUACGAGUACCAGAACGCCCAAUCGGCUUCGAACUUGAAGCAAGCUAUUGCUUGAGUCUGGCGCCUUAGACCACUCGGCCAUCCGUGC